rnacentral:rRNA from 1 species
GAUGAACGCUGGCGGCGUGCUUAACACAUGCAAGUCGAGCGAAGCGGUUUAAGUGAAGUUUUCGGAUGGAUCUUGGAUUGACUGAGCGGCGACGGGUGAGGUACGCGUGGAUAACCUGCCUCACACAGGGGGAUAACAGUUAGAAAUGACUGCUAAUACCGCAUAAGCGCACAGUACCGCAUGGUACAGUGUGAAAAACUCUGGUGGUGUGAGAUGGAUCCGCGUCUGAUUAGGUAGUUGGUGGGGUAACGGCCCACCAAGCCGACGAUCAGUAGCCGACCUGAGAGGGUGACCGGCCACAUUGGGACUGAGACACGGCCCAA